GACGAACGCUGGCGGCGUGCUUAACACAUGCAAGUCGAACGGAAAGGCCUCUUUCGGGGGGUACUCGAGUGGCGAACGGGUGAGUAACAUGUGAGUAACCUGCCCUUGACUUUGGGAUAACUUCAGGAAACUGGGGCUAAUACCGGAUAGGAGCUCCUGCUGCAUGGUGGGGGUUGGAAAGUUUCGGCGGUUGGGGAUGGACUCGCGGCUUAUCAGCUUGUUGGUUGGGUAGUGGCUUACCAAGGCUUUGACGGGUAGCCGGCCUGAGAGGGUGACCGGCCACAUUGGGACUGAGAUACGGCCCAGACUCCUACGGGAGGCAGCAGUGGGGAAUAUUGCACAAUGGGUGGAAGCCUGAUGCAGCAACGCCGUGUGCGGGAUGACGGCCUUCGGGUUGUAAACCGCUUUCGCUCAUGACGAAGCUUUGUGUGACGGUAGUGGGUAAAGAAGCACCGGCUAACUACGUG
rnacentral:rRNA from 1 species